GAGCGGGCGGCCGAACCCCCGCCGCCUCGGGGAGCCGCGGCCGGCGGAGAGCAGCGGGUUUCGGCGGCCGGCGGGGACACGCUGCGAGGACGGGGGGAGCCGGGAUGCCGUAGGGCUGGCAGGGGUAGCGCCGCACUCUCUCCUGCCACCGUGCGUGUGUGUUUGCAAGCGGCUGCCGCUCCUCCUGGCUGCUGCUGCUUCCAGACCCACUUUCUCGCCCCCUCGCUCUCUGUCGGGAGAGGAGGACCUUCAUUCCCAGAGGUGAAGAAAAUAGACCUCAUUUCUGAAUGACCUCAGGUUUUAAAUGUCACCUUACUUCAUCUGCGUGAUUUAACACACCUGUAGCACAGCCUGUGCAAAGGGACUUGAACUCCUGUUAGUGAGUUGCUGCACUGGCACAGCUGCCUGUUGCUGCCCCACAGAUUCAUAAACUACAGGCUGAAAAUCUCUUUUCUAAAGGAUUUCAACCCUUGGAGCACAGGACACAGUCAUCUCAAGACCAAUUUAAAAAAAAACAACUACUGAUGGGAGUGGAAGAUUCUGCAUUGGACUUAAUUAUCUAGGGCAAGGAGAAAACAUCCCUUUCAUCCAGGAAUUGUGCAAUUUUCUAUUAUGGGCUACAGUAUCUGCUUUAAAACCGACAGUGCAUGGGACAGUGGGCCAAUGGAAAGGUUCAAGUGUGCCUCUCUCAGCUGCCCUGGGCCUCCCUGGAGCUCAGCAAGAGGGGCAUUGCUCAGCAGUUUGGUGCAGCUGUGGUAAGAUCUGGCUCUGAAACGCCCCACAAAGGAACCUGCCUUUUCCUUUGCUCUUACAGAGAGGGCUCUGGGAGAAUCAGCCUACAUGAAACCCUCGGGGCAUUGUUUUGGAAAACGGCACGUAAGCAUAACAGUAAAGAAAAGAACAGUCACAAAAUAAUGCCCAGACAUUUUCACCAAAUAUACAGGGAGGGACCCACUGAAUGCCCUAAACACAUUUGGUCUUCCAGCAGAAGAGAGCACUCCCAAGAGGAAGGAUUUGUGCAACAGAGUCUGUUUUCCCAGCUACAUCAGCAGACCUCACAUAAAACCAUAGCUCCUCCACAAACCUCCUCUCCUCUGGGUAGACAUAAAGAUGACAAAGGACUCGUGCAAUUAAAGAAUAUCAGUAUGUCCUCAGUCUUCAAGCAUUUCAGUCAGGAGAUGCUCCUUAGCUUUAGAAAACAAAGUAAAGAGGCAAAAAAUAGAGAGAGAUAAUUGGGACUAUAGGGCUUGUUUAUUCUGGUUCAUCCCCUGACCUGUGAGGUCACAAGCCAGUUGCUUUGGUGCUGCAGCUCCCUGGGUCUGUUGAUGAGUAAAUCCAGUUCUGGUAUGAGAGCAGAAACGGAGGACUUGGCUGCUUCUUCAUUUUACUUGUUUUUUUAAGUCAUUAUAGACAUCAAAUUGCUGUUGUCGUGGUGAAUUUGGCUCCCAGUCUGGAGGCGACUCUCUGAGUGAUCUCCAAGACCAUCUGUGGCCAACAGGGUCAUAGAGCAAAAGCAGCUGGACCUCUGUGCUGAUGAAGGAUCUGGAGGAGUUAGCUGUCUGCUCCAGUUUUGCAGAUUUAUUAUUAAUUUUUGUCAUGUUGGAUGGCAGAUGUAAAGGUUUUUCCCUCAGUUUUCACGACUGCUUUGUUACAUGGGAUUUUCUCUGGUACAUGAUCCACAUAAAGGUUAAAAUAAAUGCAGAAAUCCAUAAAAGAGACUCCAUUAGCUGAAAUGGCAAUGAACUAUAUUUUUUGGCAUGCUGAAGCCUGGGUUUCACCUCCCUGCUCUAUAUGUUCAUGUGUGUA